GCUUCUUGGGUGACGGAGUGGCGGACGGGUGAGUAAUGCUUGGGAAUAUGCCUUAUGGUGGGGGACAACAGUUGGAAACGACUGCUAAUACCGCAUAACGUCUACGGACCAAAGGGGGGGAUCUUCGGACCUUGCGCUAUUGGAGAAGCCUGCGUCGGAUUAGCUAGUUGGUGGGGUAAAGGCCCACCAAGGCGACGAUCCGUAGCUGGUCUGAGAGGAUGAUCAGCCACACUGGGACUGAGACACGGCCCAGACUCCUACGGGAGGCAGCAGUGGGGAAUAUUGGACAAUGGGGGCAACCCUGAUCCAGCCAUGCCGCGUGUGUGAAGAAGGCCUUCGGGUUGUAAAGCACUUUCAGCGAGGAGGAAAGGUUGGCGAUUAAUACUCGUCAGCUGUGACGUUACUCGCAGAAGAAGGACCGGCUAACUCCGUGCCAGCAGCCGCGGUAAUACGGAGGGUCCGAGCGUUAAUCGGAAUUACUGGGCGUAAAGCGCGCGUAGGCGGUUAAGUCAGUCAGAUGUGAAAGCCCUGGGCUCAACCUGGGAACUGCGUCUGAUACUGCUUGACUAGAGUUUGGUAGAGGAGUGUGGAAUUUCCUGUGUAGCGGUGAAAUGCGUAGAGAUCGGAAGGAACAUCAGUGGCGAAGGCGGCUGUCUGGACCGAUACUGACACUGAGGUGCGAAAGCGGGGGGAGCAAACAGGAUUAGAUAAUCCUGUUAGUCCACGCCGUAAACGAUGUCAACUAGCCGUUGGAGGGCUUGUCCCUUUAGUGGCGCAGCUAACGCGAUAAGUUGACCGCCUGGGGAGUACGGCCGCAAGGUUAAAACUCAAAUGAAUUGACGGGGGCCCGCACAAGCGGUGGAGCAUGUGGUUUAAUUCGAUCCAACGCGAAGAACCUUACCAGGUCUUGACAUCCCGAGAAUUUACUAGAGAUAGUUUAGUGCCUUCGGGAACUCGGUGACAGGUGCUGCAUGGCUGUCGUCAGCUCGUGUCGUGAGAUGUUGGGUUAAGUCCCGUAACGAGCGCAACCCUUGUCCUUAGUUGCCAGCACGUAAUGGUGGGAACUCUAAGGAGACUGCCGGUGACAAACCGGAGGAAGGUGGGGACGACGUCAAGUCAUCAUGGCCCUUACGACCUGGGCUACACACGUGCUACAAUGGCCGGUACAGAGGGCAGCAAACCAGCGAUGGUAAGCGAAUCCCUUAAAACCGGUCGUAGUCCGGAUCGGAGUCUGCAACUCGACUCCGUGAAGUCGGAAUCGCUAGUAAUCGCGAAUCAGAAUGUCGCGGUGAAUACGUUCCCGGGCCUUGUACACACCGCCCGUCACACCAUGGGAGUGGGUUGCACCAGAAGUAGCUAGUCUAACCUUCGGGAGGACGGUUACCACGGUGUGAUUCAUG
rnacentral:rRNA from 1 species